rnacentral:lncRNA from 1 species
GGAAACUUAACAAAACAAAAGGGAAAUACUAGGGGCUCAGGCUUAGAGUUCGUAUUGCUACCCUCGUAACUGUGUUCGAUCUUUUAAUCAGGAGCUAUUUCUUUUGGGCACCGUUCUUGUUGGGAUUCAUUGGCUCUUAUUAUUUUUUUUAUUGCUCUUUUGAGCAUGCCUUUUGCCAACCUCAAUUCUUCUAGAUAAGUGCUUCAUGAUACUUCUCAUAAUUUUU